CCUACGGGGGGCAGCAGUGGGGAAUAUUGCACAAUGGGCGCAAGCCUGAUGCAGCCAUGCCGCGUGUGUGAAGAAGGCCUUCGGGUUGUAAAGCACUUUCAGCGGGGAGGAAGGCGGUGAGGUUAAUAACCUCAUCGAUUGACGUUACCCGCAGAAGAAGCACCGGCUAACUCUGUGCCAGCAGCCGCGGUAAUACGGAGGGUGCAAGCGUUAAUCGGAAUUACUGGGCGUAAAGCGCACGCAGGCGGUCUGUCAAGUCGGAUGUGAAAUCCCCGGGCUCAACCUGGGAACUGCAUUCGAAACUGGCAGGCUAGAGUCUUGUAGAGGGGGGUAGAAUUCCAGGUGUAGCGGUGAAAUGCGUAGAGAUCUGGAGGAAUACCGGUGGCGAAGGCGGCCCCCUGGACAAAGACUGACGCUCAGGUGCGAAAGCGUGGGGAGCAAACAGGAUUAGAUACCCUUGUAGUC
rnacentral:rRNA from 1 species